AUGGGGUGACUGCGUACCUUUUGUAUAAUGGGUCAGCGACUUAUAUUCUGUAGCAAGGUUAACCGUAUAGGGGAGCCGUAGGGAAACCGAGUCUUAACUGGGCGAAUGAGUUGCAGGGUAUAGACCCGAAACCCGGUGAUCUAUCCAUGGGCAGGUUGAAGGUUGGGUAACACUAACUGGAGGACCGAACCGACUAAUGUUGAAAAAUUAGCGGAUGACUUGUGGAUGGGGGUGAAAGGCCAAUCAAACCGGGAGAUAGCUGGUUCUCCCCGAAAGCUAUUUAGGUAGCGCCUCGUGAAUUCAUCUUCGGGGGUAGAGCACUGUUUCGACUAGGGGGUCAUCCCGACUUACCAACUCGAUGCAAACUGCGAAUACCGAAGAAUGUUAUCACGGGAGACACACGGCGGGUGCUAACGUCCGUCGUGAAGAGGGAAACAACCCAGACCGCCAGCUAAGGUCCCAAAGUCAUGGUUAAGUGGGAAACGAAGUGGGAAGGCUCAGACAGCCAGGAUGUUGGCUUAGAAGCAGCCAUCAUUUAAAGAAAGCGUAAUAGCUCACUGGUCGAGUCGGCCCGCGCGGAAGAUGUAACGGGGCUAAACCAUGCACCGAAGCUGCGGCAGCGACUCAAAGUGUUGUUGGGUAGGGGAGCGAUCUGUAAGCCUGCGA
rnacentral:rRNA from 1 species